UGGGGAAUCUUGCGCAAUGGGCGAAAGCCUGACGCAGCAACGCCGCGUGUGUGAUGAAGGUCUUCGGAUCGUAAAGCACUGUCGGGAGGGACGAACAAGCUCAUGGCUAACAUCCAUGGGCCUUGACGGUACCUCCAAAGGAAGCACCGGCUAACUCUGUGCCAGCAGCCGCGGUAAUACAGAGGGUGCUAGCGUUGUUCGGAAUUAUUGGGCGUAAAGCGCGUGUAGGCGGCUCAGCAAGUUGGGUGUGAAAGCCCUCGGCUUAACCGAGGAAGUGCGCCCAAAACUACUAGGCUUGAGUACCGGAGAGGAUGGUGGAAUUCCCGGUGUAGAGGUGAAAUUCGUAGAUAUCGGGAGGAACACCAGUGGCGAAGGCGGCCAUCUGGACGGAUACUGACGCUGAGACGCGAAAGCGUGGGGAGCAAACAG
rnacentral:rRNA from 1 species